rnacentral:lncRNA from 1 species
GGACGAUGGUCAAGAUUUAGUGUUAGCUGGAGCCCACAUGGAACCCCUGAAACUUGCGCAGCCAGGAAGGAGGUGGAUACGCAAGUUGCCAGCAUAAAAACACAGAGCAAAGACUAAACUCUUCUCUUGAACUCUUGCAAAAUUAAGUAAGACGAUAUGUAACAGAGCCUACAACACUAUACAAAUUUAAGAAGGUCAAGUUCAGAAAAGAUCUCAUUUGCAAUGAGAGAAGGAGAAGAAUAUUCAGCUUCAGCUUCAUCCUAAGAGUCCCCUCUUUAUCAUAAGAUGACUGCCAGCAGCAAAUGAAGUCACACAGCUCCCUGUUCAUAUUCAGUGGGAGACAGAAAAAGCC